rnacentral:rRNA from 1 species
AUUGAACGCUGGCGGCAUGCCUUACACAUGCAAGUCGAACGGUAACGGGUCCUUCGGGAUGCCGACGAGUGGCGAACGGGUGAGUAAUAUAUCGGAACGUGCCCAGUAGUGGGGGAUAACUGCUCGAAAGAGCAGCUAAUACCGCAUACGACCUGAGGGUGAAAGGGGGGGGUCGCAAGACCUCUCGCUAUUGGAGCGGCCGAUAUCAGAUUAGCUAGUUGGUGGGGUAAAGGCCUACCAAGGCAACGAUCUGUAGUUGGUCAGAGAGGACGACCAGCCAAACUGGGACUGAGACACGGGCCAGACUCCUACGGGAGGCAGCAGUGGGGAAUUGUGCACAAGGGGCGCAAGCCUGAUCCAGCAAUGCCGCGUGCAGGAAGAAGGCCUUCGGGUUGUAAACUGCUUUUGUCAGGGAAGAAAUCUUCUGCGCUAAUACCCCGGGAGGAUGACGGUACCUGAAGAAUAAGCACCGGCUAACUACGUGCCAGCCGCCGCGGUAA